rnacentral:rRNA from 1 species
UACGGGGGGGGUAAGCGUUGUUCGGAAUUACUGGGCGUAAAGGGCUCGUAGGCGGCCAACUAAGUCAGACGUGAAAUCCCUCAGCUUAACUGGGGAACUGCGUCUGGUACUGGAUGGCUUGGAUUCGGGAGAGGAAUGCGGAAUUCCAGGUGUAGCGGUGAAAUGCGUAGAUAUCUGGAGGAACACCGGUGGCGAAGGCGGCAUUCUGGACCGACAUUGACGCUGAGGAGCGAAAGCCAGGGGAGCAAACGGG